CUUAGUACGGCGAGUGAAGCGGUAAAAGCUCAAAUUUGAAAUCUGGUACUUUCAGUGCCCGAGUUGUAAUUUGUAGAAUUUGUCUUUGAUUAGGUCCUUGUCUAUGUUCCUUGGAACAGGACGUCAUAGAGGGUGAGAAUCCCGUUUGGCGAGGAUACCUUUUCUCUGUAAGACUUUUUCGAAGAGUCGAGUUGUUUGGGAAUGCAGCUCAAAGUGGGUGGUAAAUUCCAUCUAAAGCUAAAUAUUGGCGAGAGACCGAUAGCGAACAAGUACAGUGAUGGAAAGAUGAAAAGAACUUUGAAAAGAGAGUGAAAAAGUACGUGAAAUUGUUGAAAGGGAAGGGCAUUUGAUCAGACAUGGUGUUUUUUGCAUGCACUCGCCUCUCGUGGGCUUGGGCCUCUCAAAAAUUUCACUGGGCCAACAUCAAUUCUGGCAGUAGGAUAAAUCAUUAAGAAUGUAGCUACCUCGGUAGUGUUAUAGCUUAUUGGAAUACUGCUAGCUGGGAUUGAGGACUGCGCUUCGGCAAGGAUGUUGGCAUAAUGGUUAAAUGCCGCCCGUCUUG
rnacentral:rRNA from 1 species